AGGAGAUUCAAUAGUUUUCAAUCUCCUCUCUCUCUUUCAGGAGAUUCAAUAGUUUUCAAUCUCCUCUCUGUCUUUUCAGGAGAUUCAAUAGUUUUCAAUCUCCUCUCUCUUUUCAGGAGAUUCACUAGUUGUGGACUUUGUACUUGUGCGUCAAUGUCAAAGUAUGUUUGACUCCAUGUACUUGGCGUCUGGUAUUAAAAAAAAGGCAGUUAACUUAACACCUUAAAUUGCCCCGUUGAAGCAAGUCGAUUGAAGCAAGUUGAGUGCUAGGUGCUGCUGGGUUCAGUUUGGAACCUUUCACCUGCUGAAUGCCUUAGGGCUUAACUGAAGCAUCCGUCUUCUAGGAAGAGAUAGAGAGAGACCAUGGUGGUGUCAACGAUGGCACCCUAUUCCCUACGUAGUGCACACAAGUAGUGCACCAUCAAGGGAAUAGGGUGCCAUUUGGGAUGCAUUGGGGUAACCCGUUAACACCAAACUCUAGAGGUUACUACAGGUCAGACCGUAUCUCAUUAACACCAAACUCUAGAAGUUACUACAGGUCAGACCGUAUCUCAUCAACACCAAACUCUAGAAGUUACUACAGGUCAGACCGUAUCUCAUUAACACCAAACUCUAGAGGUUACUACAGGUCAGACCGUAUCUCAUCAACACCAAACUCUAGAAGUUACUACAGGUCAGACCGUAUCUCAUCACCACCAAACUCUAGAGGUUACUACAGGUCAGACCGUAUCUCAUCAACACCAAACUCUAGAGGUUACUACAGGUCAGACCGUAUCUCAUCAACACCAAACUCUAGAGGUUACUACAGGUCAGACCGUAUCUCAUCAACACCAAACUCUAGAAGUUACUACAGGUCAGACCGUAUCUCAUUAACACCAAACUCUAGAGGUUACUACAGGUCAGACCGUAUCUCAU
ensembl:lncRNA